AACGAACGCUGGCGGCAGGCCUAACACAUGCAAGUCGAGCGAGGACUUCGGUUCUAGCGGCGGACGGGUGAGUAACGCGUGGGAAUGUGCCCUUCUCUACGGAAUAGCCCUGGGAAACUGGGAGUAAUACCGUAUACGCCCUUUCGGGGAAAGAUUUAUCGGAGAAGGAUCAGCCCGCGUUGGAUUAGGUAGUUGGUGGGGUAAUGGCCUACCAAGCCGACGAUCCAUAGCUGGUUUGAGAGGAUGAUCAGCCACACUGGGACUGAGACACGGCCCAGACUCCUACGGGAGGCAGCAGUGGGGAAUCUUAGACAAUGGGGGCAACCCUGAUCUAGCCAUGCCGCGUGAGUGAUGAAGGCCUUAGGGUUGUAAAGCUCUUUCAGCUGGGAAGAUAAUGACGGUACCAGCAGAAGAAGCCCCGGCUAACUCCGUG
rnacentral:rRNA from 1 species